rnacentral:rRNA from 1 species
CGUGGGUCGUCCAGUGAUGUAUUUCAACGUCACGUGGCCUCUCUCAGGAGUAACGAGUAGCGGAAGAGAGAGGGGGUGAGUGAGAAAGGGAGAGAGAGAGGCAUAACAAGCGACGAAAAGUCUCUUCGCUCCUUAUAGACGCCGCCUCCCCCUUCUUCGCGGCGGGGUCAAAGUUUUUCUUGGCGGUGGAGGGGACGUGGCCGGAUGCUAGGAGAGAGGAGAGCAUAAUUAAAGCCAACGGGGGUAGGUAGGUAGGUAGGCAGGUGGGCAGGAGGUAAAAGAACCAGCGGCAUGUCUCGAGUUAGGUGGGGUCAUGAGGACGGAUGGUCGGCGACGACGAUCAUCCUCGCAAACGACAGGCCACUAAGGUCAACCUCAUCAGACAUCGGAGAAGAGAAGAGAAGUUACGCUCCUCUUCCGUAGCCGCCACCCUCCUCCUCAUCAGCAGGAACGACUUCAAAGCAGUUCGAGCCAGGGACAGGGACAGGCCCGUUCGCUUGAAGAACCGUCGCCGUUGCUUCGUCUCCUCCCUAUAUUACCGGAGGUGCCUUCCGCCGACGCCGCCGCCGCCUCCUCCUCCUCGUCUCUCCCGCCUCCUAGGAGAGGGACCGAGGCGGCUCCUUCACGUUCCUCACCGGGUCCUUCUCUCGUCCUCUUCGAGGCCGCUUUGACGGCUACACCCGACGCCGUUAUCGCCCAACCGUCGACUACGGCGACACGACUCGCUUCUAGGUUCACUCCCCGUGUCGUCACUCUCGUCGUCAUCGGUCACGCGACCAAGACUACCUCUACUGUUUCUCCACGGACUUUACACGAGGUUCUCGCCGCCGUUGCUGCUCUUGUCGCUCACGUGGCUGGUCUCGAGAGGGGCACGGCACGACCUGUAUAGCCACAGACCGUCGCACCUGAGGCUGCUCUCGAGGAGGCAGCUCGUCGGCCGCCACGGGUCGGCCUCGCACGUCGGCGACGUCACCUCCUUGGACUAGUCGCCCUAUUAUGAGUCGUCCUUCUUCGACUACCGGUCUCGCCACUGCAAGGGAGUCGCUAGGUUCUCGUGCCCCGAAUUUUCCAUGGACCCCUCCUACGCCUCGCCGUUCUUGGUCUACCUGACGUCGCGGUAGCGGGGCCUCUAGAAGGGGCUCUAGCUCUUCACCUCCGGUAGUACCUCCUCGAAGCUGAUGCUGCUCGAGACGCGACGCUGACUGUCUAAGUCAAGUCUAUUAAACUAGCCUUUCCCUCCCGUGCGACUCCACAUGUUUCCUGCCGAACGACUGCCCGUCAAACACCGCCACUUCUCCAAUUGUUUUCCGCCGUUGUUCCUCCUGUCCUAGUCGCUAAAGGAUAGGCUCGAACCUUAUUAUCGCGUGCAGUUGGUGGGUUUACGCCGUGUCGAGAACCCCAAGUCACACCUUCCCCCGAACGUGGACCAAGAAGUCAAGAGUGGUGUACCUUCGAACCGAAGAGAAGAGGUACCACGUUUCCUUCCGGAGUUCACCUUCCGGGCCAAGUUAUAGCGUGAACCUUAGCGACUUCCCGAUAAAAUAGAUGUACUUCCGACGGUAGCCGUGUAUUAAGUGUCUCUGUAGUUCCGAAGUUUAUAGGAAAAUUGACUUCUAAUAGUUGGCGUCUAGAGUCUAAAACCGGAACGCUUCACCGAAGGACUGUUUACGUGGGUAGUCCAACAUAAGGGGUAACUUCCGUGUAAGCCAAUAUACCGGGGUCUCAUGAAGUACGUACCCUAGUAUUUACUCUUCUGCCUACACAAACGUAUGCCCCAUAACGAAGAACUUGAUCACUGUCCCGCCUUUCGGCACCUGAGAAGGUCUGUUUCGGACCACUAUACCCGCUUUGGCGACGAGCUCAGCUUGUUGUACUUCCCCGAUCACCUAGGAAGAGAACUACAACCUAUACUGGGUCUUCUCUACCGUGAGUGGGACCGUCACCGUAGGUACACGUAGGUGGUGUCGCGUUUGAACGCCGGAUCGUACUUUAGCCACCAGGCAAAGUACUUCCCCCUAUCCCUUAGUGAGCUUGACUACCCUUUCGGAUUUGGGUGUUUCGGGGGUUACAAGCUGAGGACGCUAAGUCUCCUGAUGUGAGCGUGCUCAAUGGAGUUACUAGACCUGUUCGUGUUCGUCGAACGCGACCUCGUCACUUUAAAAAUCGGCUGAAACCUGUCUAAGCCGUAGAAAAACAUGUAGCAGUGAUAGAAGUAACACUAGGAGGGUGAAAGGUCUCUACAAAUAUCUAACAUACCUAUCUACACUCCCUAGUCAGACAGCAAACGGAGGGACAAACGACUAGAUUCCACAGUAAAGAACCGAAGGUUACCAGUGACAUACAACACUAUGACACUAGACACACCGGUCCCGGUUACUACAACCGACAUACGGACAUACAGUGUUAAGGAGUAUACCCCUGUACGAAUCUCUAUCUUCUCACCUUACUUAAAACCAGUAGACGUCCCAAAUAAGUACACAGGAACAAUACUGGAAGGUAAAAGUGUCAAAAUCCGAAAGUCGUGAUCACAAACUACUUAUUCAAGUCAAUGACGUAGUUUUAACCAAUGAUGAUGUCGAAUGUAUCUAGACGAUUACGUUCCCAACGGUCUUUUUUAC